AUUGAACGCUGGCGGCAGGCCUAACACAUGCAAGUCGAGCGAGCGGCGGACGGGUGAGUAAUGUCUGGGAAACUGCCUGAUGGAGGGGGAUAACUACUGGAAACGGUAGCUAAUACCGCAUACCAUCAGAUGUGCCCAGAUGGGAUUAGCUAGUAGGUGGGGUAAUGGCUCACCUAGGCGACGAUCCCUAGCUGGUCUGAGAGGGUGAUCAGCCAACCUGGAACUGAGACACGGUCCAGACGCCUACGGGAGGCAGCAGUGGGGAAUAUUGCACAAUGGGCGCAAGCCUGAUGCAGCCAUGCCGCGUGUGUGAAGAAGGCCUUCGGGUUGUAAAGCACUUUCAGUAGGGAGGCGUUACCCAAAGAAGAAGCACCGGCUAACUCCGUGCCAGCAGCCGCGGUAAUUC
rnacentral:rRNA from 1 species